rnacentral:rRNA from 1 species
AGGCGCGAAAACUUUACAAUGCCGGCAACGGCGAUAAGGGGACCUCGAGUGCCAGGUUACAAAUCUGGCUGUCGUGAUGCCUAAAAAGCAUUGCAUAGCAAGGGCCGGGCAAGACCGGUGCCAGCCGCCGCGGUAA